CUAAACCGGCGGUAUUUGCAUUGAACCAGCCGAUUCAGUGAAUUAAAACUGGUCAAUGCUUUCCCUCCAUUUCUAAAAUCACAUGGAGCCGCGCGAUUUCUACGAGCAAUAUGACUCUACUUCCCUACUUUCUCUCCUACACAACUCUACUUCUCCACUUUCUCUCCCACACAACAACAAUGAUAUAGAAAGUUUCCUUCGUUGAUCGAGAUUCUGAAUCAUUGAGGUCGGAUUUAUAUUCAAUCGACGCAUUGAGAGCUGUGAAAUUCAACAAAUAGUCGAGAAAGGGCGAGAACAGCUACUGCUCUGCACUCCUAGUACGCAGAAGUUCAAUCUAUAUUUUCUUUAUGCUCGUGGUUUUGAUUUCUUUCCCCUUAGUGGUGACGAGGCUCUUAAACUUUUUCAAGAGGAUCUUGCGCUAUUAGAUAUUAAGCUGGUGAGUUCCCAAAAUUUGAAGGAAUCUGGCCCUCAAACUGGUUGUUGUUGAGGAAGAUGGUGUCCAGUCUCUUGUUGAAAAGCUCUUUCGGGAUGGGGCCUGAGAAGUAGUUGAAUCUUAGGUCCAAGUAAAUGAGGUUUGGAAUGAGUAGUCACAUGGCAGAAGAUAUGAGAUGCUAAUGUCUUUGUUUGCAGAAUGGUAGGUAUCAAAACAGAUUCCUAAAUAAUUAUUUGAAUACGUAUUUCUUUUUUCCUGGAUGCUUAAUUAUUUGAAUAGAUGUUUGCAGUAUGGGAUGUAUGCAGAAGAUCUGAUUGGCCAGAAAGAGAGGAAUGCAUUUCUCAAGUUACCUUUGAUAGACAAGAAGCUUCUGAUACAGUCAUGGAUACUUCUGAUUCUGAAGAUUAUGAUGUGAAGUAUAUGAUGGAACAAAAUACUAGCAUAGUGGGGAAAGAGUUACUAAUUAAAUCCCAUGAAUGACCUCACUGGUAUCUUUCCAAUGCAGAGGUGCAGAUUAACUCUGGGAGGAUUCCCAUAUUCCCAUUUAGCAGAAAUCUAAGGUACUUUUAAUUUGAGUUGUAAGAUACCCUAACAUGCCAUUGUGUUAUGUUCUGGUUAUGAUUCUUUCACAUUUUUCUAGAUUCCCUUGAGGACCAAUGAGAGGUGGCCUAUUAGAUUAUGCCAGUGGGGAGAUUGAAAUUAAGAAUUUAAUUACUCUGACUGGUUUGAUUCCUUGCCUUGCAAGGUUUCGUAUGGUAGAAGUAUUGAAGUUUAUGAUAAUAUUCUG